UUUAACUGAAGAGUUUGAUCAUGGCUCAGAUUGAACGCUGGCGGCAGGCUUAACACAUGCAAGUCGAGCGGGGGAAGGUAGCUUGCUACUGGACCUAGCGGCGGACGGGUGAGUAAUGCUUAGGAAUCUGCCUAUUAGUGGGGGACAACAUCUCGAAAGGGAUGCUAAUACCGCAUACGUCCUACGGGAGAAAG
rnacentral:rRNA from 1 species